GAGGCGCGACUCCAUCCACAAUUCAGAUCAUGGACCGAACGCCUUGUGUGCAUGACUGACGCUGGUCGAUCUCAUCCACAACCCAAAAAGAUCUGAAAGCUAUCGAUGGAGCAUCACAGAGCGAGGGUGCAACUGGAUUGCUCUGUGGAGGAGGGCCCAAGGAUGUCACUUUAUGAAGUCCUGCUUACCACACAAUCUCAUCUGUUUGGAAACACCAUCUGAACCUGCCUGGUACCAUCAAAGAAGAGCACUGAUCCCAUAAAUGACAAAUGUCAAAUGGCAUGUUACAUACUGAAAUUGGUGGAUGACAACAAAUUGAAUUUUGUGCUUGGUUAUGCAACAAGAACAUUAUAUUUUGUUAAGAACUGCUUGAACUUUGUACAAGUUUGCUGAUGUUACUUUCUGCCAUAUCUUUUGCAGGAAGCCAACAAGGUGACCGACUGGUGUCUGGUAGUAAAUUUACUAUACCUCGAAGGAUAAAACGGAUAACGGUGUUGGAAGUAAAACUAGAAAGAAUCUGAAAAUGAAUGGUUUGUGAUUGCAUCUACAUAAAUGUUAGACUCUUGUUGGUAAAAAAGAAACCUUCUUUUGAUAGAUCUUUGGUGUGAAUUGUGGAAAGAUGAAGGAACAAGGGUCUCGAGAAGUUCUAAGAUUGUUGGGAACAUCAAGAUGAUGUUAAUGCAAAUACUAGUUGAUAUUAGGGUGGGCAACUGUUUGUCGAAGGAUCCUUUAUGACUAUUCAACAGAUACUGCACCACUCAAAGCAAUUUCAGAUUAUGGGAACAGAACUAAAGAUCUUCUGCUCAUUCAGAUCACCACACCAUGCAUGUUGAGUCUGUUCAAGCUUGUCCUCUCCAAAUUGUUU